CAGUCGCCGCGGUAAUACGAAGGGUGCAAGCGUUAAUCGGAAUUACUGGGCGUAAAGCGUGCGUAGGCGGUUUGUUAAGUCUGUUGUGAAGUCCCCGGGCUCAACCUGGGAAUGGCAAUGGAUACUGGCAAGCUAGAGUGUGUCAGAGGAUGGUGGAAUUCCCGGUGUAGCGGUGAAAUGCGUAGAGAUCGGGAGGAACAUCAGUGGCGAAGGCGGCCAUCUGGGACAACACUGACGCUGAGGCACGAAAGCGUGGGGAGCAAACAGGAUUAGAUACCCCGGUAGUCCCUGUCUCUUAUAC
rnacentral:rRNA from 1 species